CACGUAGGGUGCAAGCGUUAAUCGGAAUUACUGGGCGUAAAGCGUGCGUAGGCGGUUAUUUAAGUCUGUUGUGAAAUCCCCGGGCUCAACCUGGGAAUGGCAAUGGAUACUGGAUAGCUAGAGUGUGAUAGAGGAUGGUGGAAUUCCCGGUGUAGCGGUGAAAUGCGUAGAGAUCGGGAGGAACAUCAGUGGCGAAGGCGGCCAUCUGGAUCAACACUGACGCUGAGGCACGAAAGCGUGGGGAGCAAACAGG
rnacentral:rRNA from 1 species